ensembl:lncRNA
CAGACAAGGCCUACAGAUUUAUGUCUUCUUGAACACCCCCACAGUGCGGCUGUAGCAGCCUGUGGUCUUGGUGUGCUGGCCUCGGGCACGAAGUCCCCAGAAGUGGCACAGCCCUCUGUGGGCCCGAAUCUUCUUCAGUCCCCCCAGGUCUUCACGAAGUUCGUUGUCCAGACCAUUGGCCAGGACCUGGCUAUAUUUUCCAUCCUUCAUGUCCUUUUGUCUGUUCAAAAACCAGUCUGGGAUCUUACUGGCACGGAUUUGCAUAAUGGUGAUCACACAUUCCGCCUCAUCCUCAGUGAGCUCUCCUGCGCUCCUGGGGAGAUCGAUGUCUGCUUUCCUCAACACCACAUGAGCAUAUCUUCACCCCACAGCCUUAAUUGCAGUGAUGGCAGUGAACAAGGUUAUUUUCUAAGUCCAGGUAUAGAAGGUAUGACUAUAGACACAUUUGCCACAAUGUGUUUUCCAGGUUCCUAUCAAGAGAUCAUGGUGAAUCUCCUAGUGAUCAUUAGAGGGGCAUUGCUUGUAUCAGGUAAGUGAUGAUGUGUGCCUUAAGCACCCUACAGACCAUCUGAUCUUCAGAUCUUAAAGUCAGUGGGGUUCUUAACAUUCGUGUUACCAUGUUUUUGUUCUGUUUUUUUUUUUUUUUUUUCAGUUACUCAGUUAUGUUGUCCCAACCAAUGCUGGUAAGCAUUAGUCUAUUAUUUUAGAGUUUAGAUAUACUGUAUAUUUAACCUCAGUAGCGGUUGAGGGACAGGUAGGUGUUGCAGUAACGUGCUCAUCUGUUCCGUACCACGGUAUUUACAAUGAGAUUUCUAUAGGCAAGAGUCCCGUUAAGGCCUUUCCUGGUAUACAGGUAUGAGAAUACAUAGCAUGAACUCAUUAGAGAGCUGCUUGCUUUUCAUGUGUGAAUGAGGCUUUCAAGACUCUGUAUUAACUAUGUUCUUGGCAUGUGUGCAGUUCUGAAAUUAGUUUGACCCAAAUAGUACUAGUAAGUAUGAGAUUUUACUGUAUUCUUAUUCAGAGACUGUAUGUUUUAUAUACCCAGAGUGGUGGAUAGGCAGAGAUCCAGGUAAUUUUUCAUAUUGUCCAUCACCACAUUAUUGACCAUGGGAUUUUUGUAGGUAUCCUUUCAAGAGAGGAAGAUAUCUCUUAUUAGGGUAUAACUUCAGAGUUCUGUAAUUAUCCAGGUAACACUGAUGAACCUCCAAAUGAUACAGUUGACCAAGGAAUUUCCUGUUGUCCCACUAGAAUGAGACGUGGACCGAACACAUUUUCCACAAUUUUUUUUUCAGGUUCAUGUGAAGACCUCAGUGCGAGCCUAUCAAUGGUAGUUAAUGACGUGCACAUAUCAGAUAUUGAGGUAAGUGAUGAUGUGGGCCUACACCAUGGCACAGGUCAUAUGAUCUUCAUACACAGAAGUAAGUGAUGAUGGUGGCCCUAACACCUGUGUUACCAUGCAGUUUUGCAGGUAUCCCUCUCAGGUCUUGGAUAGUACACAGGUGUAUACAUGGUGUAAUACUAACUCAUUAUAGAUGUUCUUGCUCAAGACCCCUACUUCCCUUGUUUUUGGCAAGUAUAAAUUCCAUUAAUUGGACCCUGAUAAUCCUAGCAAGUAGUAGUUUUUAUUGCUCUCUUGUAUGGAGAUAAAGUGCAUUUCUUACUCAUAGUGGCAGACAAAUGGUAAAUAUCCAGGCCCUUUAUCAUAUUGUUCUGACGGCAUUAUUACUGUGAGAUAUUUGCAGGUAUGCCUCCAAGAGAGGAAGGUAAACCUUACUAGGGUUUAACCUCAGCGUUCUGGAAGUGUCCAGGUAAUGUUUAUGGGUCCCCAAAUGAUGCAAGUGACAAGGAAAUUUACAGGGGCACAGGUAGAAUGAGACAUGUACCAAACACAGAAACCACAAUAUGUUUUCCAGGACAUGCAGAGAGAUCACAUGAGCCUAUCCAUAGCAAUGAGUUGGGGGGGCACAUUGCUGGUAUUGAGGUAAGUGACGCACUAGGCUGAAACCACAAGUAUUUAGGUAAGUGGUAACAUGUGCUGACACUUCUUGUUACCAUGAUUGUGUUGCAGGGAUUCAGGUAAGAAGUAAGAAUCCUUACCAAUUCUAGAGACUAUAAAUUUUUACUUUUUACAAUCUAGAUAAAUUUUAUGUUUAACACUAUGCAUGUUAAGAGAUCAUAGGUAUACAGAUAUUUAUCAUGGUUUUCUCCACCACAGUACUACCCAUUUGAUUUUUACAGGAGUCCAGUCAAGAAAUGACAGUUUUCUGACAUUAGUGUUGACCUUGGAGUACUGUUAAGUAUCCAGGUAGUACUGUAAGUAUUCAGAGUUGAUAUGUCUCAUAAUGAUGAACUGACCAAGGUUAUUUGCAGGUGUUCUGGUAGAAAAAGUUGUAUCCUUAAACAUACGUUUCAUAACAUUUUUUUCAGAUUCCUAUCAAGAGAUCACAGUGAACCUAACAUGGGUCAUUAAUGGUGGCAGGGACCUUACUGAUACGCAGGUAAGGGAGGAUGUGGGCCUAAACCACAGCACAGGCUGUCCCAUCUCCAGAUAGCUAGGUAAGUGAUGACGGGGCAUUCAGGUAGGAAAUGAUAUAGAUCCCUUGCCUAUAUGGAAACCACGAGUUUUCAUUUUCUGUGUUUUAGAGAAAAUUUUUAUCUCUGUGUUGAAUAAUAUAUUUGGGCAAUUAGGAUGAUGUUUCCUGCCACAGUAGUGACCAUGAGAAUUUUGCAGGUAUCCUGUUAGGAAAUGUUGUCUCACCUGACUGUGAUCUUAACCUUGGCGUGCUGCAAGGGUUCUGGCACAGUUGAUGUUUUACAGUGAUGAAAGUGAUAAAGAUUAUUUGCAGAUGUCCUGGUAGAAUAAGUUGUUUUCCUUUAUACAUAUGUUUUUCAGGUUCAUGUCCCAAGAUCAUGGUGAACCUAAUGGUUAUUAGCAGGAGACAUUUCUGGUAUCCAG